UACGAAGGGGGCUAGCGUUGUUCGGAUUUACUGGGCGUAAAGCGCACGUAGGUGGAUCGUUAAGUCGGGGGUGAAAUCCUGGAGCUCAACUCCAGAACUGCCUUCGAUACUGGCGAUCUUGAGUCCGGAAGAGGUGAGUGGAACUGCGAGUGUAGAGGUGAAAUUCGUAGAUAUUCGCAAGAACACCAGUGGCGAAGGCGGCUCACUGGCCCGAUACUGACGCUGAGGCACGAAAGCGUGGGGAGCAAACAGGAUUAGAAACCCUAGUAGUCC
rnacentral:rRNA from 1 species